rnacentral:rRNA from 1 species
GCCCUGCCGUAACUUAGAUACUUCUUCACAACAAGGAUCCGCCUGGGUACUACGAGCGCCAGCUUAAAACCCAAAGGACUUGGCGGUGCUUCAGACCCCCCUAGAGGAGCCUGUUCUAGAACCGAUAACCCCCGUUCAACCUCACUAUUCCUUGCUUUUCCCGCCUAUAUACCACCGUCGCCAGCUUACCCUGUGAAGGAACCACAGUAAGCAAGAUGGGCAGUGCCCAAAACGUCAGGUCGAGGUGUAGCGUACGGAGUAGGAAGAAAUGGGCUACAUUAUCUGAGCCAGAUAACCAACGAAGCGUUCCCUGAAAUUGGGAACUUGAAGGUGGAUUUAGCAGUAAGGGAGGAAUAGAGAGCCUCCCUGAAGCCGGCUCUGAAGCGCGCACACACCGCCCGUCACUCUCCCCAACAACACCCGUUCUAGUUACUUAACACAACAGAAGCCACAAGGGGAGGCAAGUCGUAACAUGGUAAGUGUACCGGAAGGUGCACUUGGAAUAAC